CCCUUAGAUGUUCUGGGCUGCACGCGCGCUACACUGAUGCGCUCAACGAGUUUACGACCUUGCCCGGAAGGGUUGGGUAAUCUUUUUAAAACGCAUCGUGAUGGGGAUAGAUUAUUGCAAUUAUUAAUCUUUAACGAGGAAUUCCUAGUAAGCGCGAGUCAUCAGCUCGUGCUGAUUACGUCCCUGCCCUUUGUACACACCGCCCGUCGCUCCUACCGAUUGAGCGAUCCGGUGAAUAAUUCGGACUGCAGCAGUGUUCAGUUCCUGAACGUUGCAGCGGAAAGUUUAGUGAACCUUAUCACUUAGAGGAAGGAGAAGUCGUAACA
rnacentral:rRNA from 1 species